UGGUACAAGUAGGAGCUACCCGCUUCUCACCUGAAUAACGCGUUAAAGCUGUUACCAGGUAUGUGAUUGACUAUUAAAGCCAUUUAUAUAUGCUUAAUAAUCAGGUGCGGGUGUUUCGACACUCGCAUCUUUUUUUUGUG
rfam:Bacillus vietnamensis strain TCD-SED5 scaffold_1, whole genome shotgun sequence.